UGGGGAAUUUUGGACAAUGGGCGCAAGCCUGAUCCAGCCAUGCCGCGUGCAGGAUGAAGGCCUUCGGGUUGUAAACUGCUUUUGUACGGAACGAAAAGGUGCCUUCUAGUAAAGGGCGCUCAUGACGGUAACGUAAGAAUAAGCACCGGCUAACUACGUGCCAGCAGCCGCGGUAAUACGUAGGGUGCGAGCGUUAAUCGGAAUUACUGGGCGUAAAGCGUGCGCAGGCGGUUUUGUAAGACAGAGGUGAAAUCCCCGGGCUCAACCUGGGAACUGCCUUUGGGACUGAAAGGCUGGAGUGCGGCAGAGGGGGAUGGAAUUCCGCGUGUAGCAGUGAAAUGCGUAGAUAUGCGGAGGAACACCGAUGUCGAAGGCAAUCCCCUGGGCCUGCACUGACGCUCAUGCACGAAAGCGUGGGGAGCAAACA
rnacentral:rRNA from 1 species